CUCAUCGCGACCAAGUUGGCUGCUUGCGUGGCGAUGCCCACCUCAGCGCGAAGCCCGUGCCCUAACUUUUUCUCCUCCCCCUUUCUCUUGCGCGAAGCCCGUCGCAUCCUCUCCUGCACUAACUCAGCUCCUCCUCCUUCCUCUUUCGCGAUUCUCCUUCGCGAAGCUCCCGAGCCGCUUCUGAGUUCCCUUUCGAGAAGAGAGAAGCGAAGCCCAUCGCUUCCUCCCCUGCCCUAACUCAAUUCCUCCUCCUCCUCCCUCUUUCGCGAGCGUUUCUGAGUUCCCCUUCGAGAAGAGAGAAGCGAAGUACGUCCCCUUCGCGCCCUAACUUCUUCGGCCACAGCCUCGCGUUCUCCUUCCUCUUACUCCCACACCAGCAGACAAGGAGCAAUUUGAGUUUGAGCACCAACCAGCAAGUUAUAGCACAUCAAGUUUUGUGUGAAAUCAGGCUUCGCUCUACUUUGUCGGUCGCAACUUCGCUUGCUGUCCUGAGUAAAGUUCUGCUGGAGCUUCUAUGAUAUAUGAGGGUUGAACCUGCUGCAGGGAGUUACUGGGUCUGAAGAUUUUUCUGAAGUUGUUGUCUGACCUGCAUAUGUAACUGGAGCCUAGUUCAUUGUUGUUUUUUUUUUUUUGCAUAAUUGUUGAGCUCGUAUGUAUAUGUAUCUGGAGUCUUUUUAGAUUUGGAGUUACUUUGAUGGAAUUGGCAUAGCUUACUUGUAAUGUGAAAGUGUUAUUCUAGCUUCUAUCUAGAGUCUAUGGAAGUGUUAUUCUAGCUUAAUUUGGAGUUACAUUAAAUAAAUCUUUAUUCUG